GAACUGCCUGCACCUCCUUUGUUUCUGCGGUAACGUGCGGAGAGGAAAUUUAAGCCAUUGCUGCCAUCCGGGGGUGUGAGGCCUAACCUGAAGGACCUUCCCUCCAUGAUGGUCACGGUGGAAUCCAUCCUGAUAACACAGAUGCUCCUCCCCAUGCUGACUUGGCCAACGAAAGCCACUGCCCCGCCACGGGAGUGAGAGGAACUGGCCUGAACACCGCCUUCCUGCUUGCUGUAAGGAAAACCGUUGCUGUUGGCCCUGCUAGAGAAAGUCUACCUCCCCCUGCUGGUGGCCCUGCUGGAGAUAGUCUACCUCCCCCUGCUGGUGGCC